UAAGGAAUAUUGGUCAAUGGACGCAAGUCCGAACCAGCCAUGCCGCGUGGAGGAUUAAGGCCCUCUGGGUUGUAAACUCCUUUUAUCUGGGAAGAAAUGUACUUUUUCUUGAGUACUUGACGGUACCAGAGGAAUAAGCACCGGCUAACUCCGUGCCAGCAGCCGCGGUAAUACGGAGGGUGCAAGCGUUAUCCGGAUUCACUGGGUUUAAAGGGUGCUUAGGUGGGCAGGUAAGUCAGUGGUGAAAUCUCCGGGCUUAACCCGGAAACUGCCGUUGAUACUAUUUGUCUUGAAUAUUGUGGAGGUAAGCGGAAUAUGUCAUGUAGCGGUGAAAUGCUUAGGUAUGACAUAGAACACCAAUUGCGAAGGCAGCUUACUACACAAUCAUUGACGCUGAGGCACGAAAGCGUGGGGAUCAAACA
rnacentral:rRNA from 1 species